rnacentral:misc_RNA from 1 species
UCCGAGUUGACCCCGGCAGUCUCCGAUGAGUCCCCGGCAUAACCCGCUGGCAACAUCGGACAAGGGUUGCGCUCGUUGCGGGACUUAACCCAACAUCUCACGACACGAGCUGACGACAGCCAUGCAGCACCUGUGUUCCGAUUCCCUUUCAGGCACACCCACCUCUCAGCGGGCUCUCGGACAUGUCAAGGGUAGGUAAGGUUGUUCGCGUUGCAUCGAAUUAAUCCACAUCAUCCACCGCUUGUGCGGGCCCCUGUCAAUUCCUUUGAGUUUUAACCUUGCGGCCGUACUCCCCAGGCGGGGUGCUUAAUGCGUUAGCUGCGCCACCGACCGGCAUGCCGACCGACGGCUAGCACCCAUAGUUUACGGCGUGGACUAC